rfam:Erinaceus europaeus unplaced genomic scaffold scaffold00141, whole genome shotgun sequence
GGAUGUGAGGGCAUCUGGCUGCGACAUCUGUCACCCCACUGAUCUCCAGGGUUGAUUCGGCUGCUCUGGCUGGCUGGGCGGGUGUCCCCCUCCUCCCUCACCUCUUCAUGUGCAUCCCUCCUGAAGCUGCGAAUUUGGUGGAAGAGGACGGCCUUCCCCGAAUAGAGACGGACCAGUCUUUGUUCGAGGGUAUCCGAAUAGCUGCGCUUCCCUGCUAGAACCUCCAAACAAGCUCUCAAGGAACUCUGGUCUGCCUGACCCCAAAACUGGGCAGCCUCUGCUUGCGGACUCGUGCUCUGGCAGGCGCC